AAUGGGGGAAACCCUGACGCAGCAACGCCGCGUGAAGGAUGAAGGUUUUCGGAUUGUAAACUUCUUUGAUGAGGGACGAAACAAAUGACGGUACCUCAAAAACAAGCCACGGCUAACUACGUGCCAGCAGCCGCGGUAAUACGUAGGUGGCGAGCGUUGUCCGGAAUUACUGGGUGUAAAGGGCGUGUAGGCGGGAAUGCAAGUCAGAUGUGAAAUACCGAGGCUUAACUUCGGGGCUGCAUCUGAAACUGUGUUUCUUGAGUGUCGGAGAGGAAAGCGGAAUUCCCAGUGUAGCGGUGAAAUGCGUAGAUAUUGGGAGGAACACCAGUGGCGAAGGCGGCUUUCUGGACGAUAACUGACGCUGAGGCGCGAAAGCGUGGGGAGCAAA
rnacentral:rRNA from 1 species